UACGUAGGGGGCUAGCGUUGUCCGGAAUCAUUGGGCGUAAAGAGCGUGUAGGCGGCCCGGUAAGUCCGCUGUGAAAGUCGGGGGCUCAACCCUCGAAUGCCGGUGGAUACUGUCGGGCUAGAGUGCGGAAGAGGCGAGUGGAAUUCCUGGUGUAGCGGUGAAAUGCGCAGAUAUCAGGAGGAACACCGGUGGCGAAGGCGGCAUCCUGGACCAAUAUUGAUGCUGAGGAGCGAAAGCUAGGGGAGCAAACGGG
rnacentral:rRNA from 1 species